UACGUAGGGUGCAAGCGUUGUCCGGAAUUAUUGGGCGUAAAGAGCUCGUAGGCGGUCUGUCGCGUCGGCUGUGAAAACCCGGGGCUCAACCCCGGGCCUGCAGUCGAUACGGGCAGACUAGAGUGCGGUAGGGGAGACUGGAAUUCCUGGUGUAGCGGUGAAAUGCGUAGAUAUCAGGAGGAACACCGGUGGCGAAGGCGGGUCUCUGGGCCGAUACUGACGCUGAGGAGCGAAAGCGUGGGGAGCGAACAGG
rnacentral:rRNA from 1 species